rnacentral:rRNA from 1 species
UACGUAGGGUGCGAGCGUUGUCCGGAAUUAUUGGGCGUAAAGAGCUUGUAGGCGGUCUGUCGCGUCUGCUGUGAAAAAUCCGGGGCUCAACUCCGGAUCUGCGGUGGGUACGGGCAGACUAGAGUGAUGUAGGGGAGACUGGAAUUCCUGGUGUAGCGGUGGAAUGCGCAGAUAUCAGGAGGAACACCGGUGGCGAAGGCGGGUCUCUGGGCAGUAACUGACGCUGAGGAGCGAAAGCGUGGGUAGCGAACAGG